UCUUACAUUGGUAUGGUUUCUU
rnacentral:miRNA from 1 species